CAUGUAGGCGGGAAUCUAAGUCUGUUGUGAAAAUGCGGGGCUCAACCCCGUAUUGCGAUGGAAACUGGGUUUCUUUGAGUGCAGGAGAGGAAAGGGGAAUUCCCAGUGUAGCGGUGAAAUGCGUAGAUAUUGGGAGGAACACCAGUGGCGAAGGCGCCUUCUGGACUGUGUCUGACGCUGAGAUGCGAAAGCCAGGGUAGCGAACG
rnacentral:rRNA from 1 species